UACGAAGGGGGCGAGCGUUGUUCGGAAUUACUGGGCGUAAAGGGCGCGACAGGCGGCUCAGCAAGUUAGAUGUGAAAGCCCCGGGCUUAACCUGGGAAUUGCAUUUAAUACUGCUGAGCUCGAGUACGGGAGAGGAGAGUGGAAUUCCCAGUGUAGAGGUGAAAUUCGUAUGAGUAUUGGUGAAGAACACCGGUGGCGAAGGCGGCAUUCUGGACCGACAUUGACGCUGAGGAGCGAAAGCCAGGGGAGCAAACGGG
rnacentral:rRNA from 1 species